rnacentral:rRNA from 1 species
GAUGAACGCUGGCGGCGUGCCUAAUACAUGCAAGUCGAGCGAACGGACGAGAAGCUUGCUUUUCUGAUGUUAGCGGCGGACGGGUGAGUAACACGUGGAUAACCUACCUAUAAGACUGGGAUAGCUUCGGGAAACCGGAGCUAAUACCGGAUAAUAUUUUGAACCGCAUGGUUCAAAAGUGAAAGACGGUCUUGCUGUCACUUAUAGAUGGAUCCGCGCUGCAUUGGCUAGUUGGUAAGGUAACGGCUUACCAAGGCAACGAUGCAUAGCCGACCUGAGAGGGUGAUCGGCCACACUGGAACUGAGACACGGUCCAGACUCCUACGGGAGGCAGCAGUAGGGAAUCUUCCGCAAUGGGCGAAAGCCUGACGGAGCAACGCCGCGUGAGUGAUGAAGGUCUUCGGAUCGUAAAACUCUGUUAUUAGGGAAGAACAUAUGUGUAAGUAACUGUGCACAUCUUGACGGUACCUAAUCAGAAAGCCACGGCUAACUACGUG